UAGGGAAUCUUCGGCAAUGGACGAAAGUCUGACCGAGCAACGCCGCGUGAGGGAAGAAGGUCUUCGGAUCGUAAAACUCUGUUGUUAGUGAAGAACAAGGACGUUUGUAACUGAACGUCCCCUGACGGUACCUAACCAGAAAGCCACGGCUAACUACGUGCCAGCAGCCGCGGUAAUAAGUAGGUGGCCAGCGUUGUCCGGAUUUAUUGGGCGUAAAGCGAGCGUAGGCGGUUUCUUAAGUCUGAUGUGAAAGCCCCCGGCUCAACCGGGGAGGGUCAUUGGAAACUGGGAGACUUGAGUGCAGAAGAGGGGAGUGGAAUUCCAUGUGUAGCGGUGAAAUGCGUAGAUAUAUGGAGGAACAACAGUGGCGAAGGCGGCUCUCUGGUCUGUAACUGACGCUGAGGCGCGAAAGCGUGGGGAGCAAACAGG
rnacentral:rRNA from 1 species